rnacentral:rRNA from 1 species
AUGAACGCUAGCGACAGGCCUAACACAUGCAAGUCGAGGGGCAGCACAAGGAGCAAUCUGAGGUGGCGACCGGCGCACGGGUGAGUAACACGUAUGCAACCUGCCUGUAAGCGGGGAAUAACCCGUUGAAAGACGGACUAAUACCGCAUAAUACUAAAUUACUGCAUGGUAAUUUAUUUAAACAUUUAUGGCUUACAGAUGGGCAUGCGCAUGAUUAGCUAGUUGGAGAGGUAACAGCUCCCCAAGGCAACGAUCAUUAGGGGUUCUGAGAGGAAGGUCCCCCACACUGGUACUGAGACACGGACCAGACUCCUACGGGAGGCAGCAGUGAGGAAUAUUGGUCAAUGGACGAGAGUCUGAACCAGCCAAGUCGCGUGCAGGAAGAAUGUUCCCUAUGGAUUGUAAACUGCUUUUGCAGGGGAAUAAAGUGCAUCACGUGUGAUGUUUUGUAUGUACUCUGCGAAUAAGGAUCGGCUAACUCCGUGCCAGCCGCCGC